CCCUUAGAUGUUCUGGGCCGCACGCGCGCUACACUGAUUCAUGCAACAAGUUUUGUCCUUGGCUGAUAGGCCUGGGUAAUCUUUGAACGUGAAUCGUGAUGGGGAUAGAUGAUUGCAAUUAUUCAUCUUCAACGAGGAAUUCCUAGUAAACGCAAGUCAUCAGCUUUCAUUGAUUACGUCCCUGCCCUUUGUACACACCGCCCGUCGCACCUACCGAUUGAAUGGUCCGGUGAAAUCUUCGGAUCUGAGAGAUGUCUGAUUAAUUUCGGACGCCUUUUGGAAAAGUUGUUUAAACCUUACCAUUUAGAGGAAGGUGAAGUCGUAACA
rnacentral:rRNA from 1 species